rnacentral:snoRNA from 1 species
CUACAUGUGGAGAUGUCUGUUCUUCAUUCCUUGAGGAGCAGGAAUACAUCUAUAACAUGUUGCAUUUAAAAGGGAAUUCUUAGAGCUGCCAAUCUUAUAAUAAAUGUUGAGUAGUAGUGUAUGUCUCCUACAAAA